UAGGGAAUCUUCGGCAAUGGACGGAAGUCUGACCGAGCAACGCCGCGUGAGUGAAGAAGGUUUCUGGAUCGUAAAGCUCUGUUGUUAGAGAAGAACGUUGGUAGGAGCGGAAAACCUACUAAGUGACGGUAACUAACCAGAAAGGGACGGCUAACUACGUGCCAGCAGCCGCGGUAAUACGUAGGUCCCGAGCGUUGUCCGGAUCUAUUGGGCGUAAAGCGAGCGCAGGCGGUUCUUUAAGUCUGGAGUUAAAGGCCGUGGCUUAACCAUUGUACGCUUUGGAAACUGGAGGACUUGAGUGCAGAAGGGGAGAGUGGAAUUCCAUGUGUAGCGGUGAAAUGCGUAGAUAUAUGGAGGAACACCGGUGGCGAAAGCGGCUCUCUGGUCUGUAACUGACGCUGAGGCUCGAAAGCGUGGGGAGCAAACAGG
rnacentral:rRNA from 1 species